GCCGUCUCUCUGUCUCUCUGUCGCGGCGCAGAGCUUAGCUGAUUGGUGAACAGUGAUUGCUGGACUCUUUGUUCACAGUGGCUAAGUUCUGCGCCCGCAGAGAAGGGGACGGACGGC